CAGUCACAUGACCCCAACUUAACUGCAAGGGAUGCUGGGCAAUAUAGUCCAGUAGUGUGGCUAGCAGGAAAAUUAAAGGGGUUUGGUGAAUCCAUUGCUCCUGCCAUCACCCAGAUUAAAGACCUGCCCUCUCAUCCGUCAGGGAUUGAGUGGGCAAGCACUGUGGGCUGCAGACACCAAGCUCCACCAUGAUUCCCCCUCCACUCUCAGAGGCUCCAUCCAGCUGGCAGGCUCACAGCACUGCAGCCCAGCAUCUGAAGUGGUACUGUCCCUAGGCUGAUGACUGUCACAUUUUUAGUGGGGCCAAAACUUUCCUCCAAGAUUCAGAUGUGUGUCACCAACUAGAGAGCAGGCUUGGAAUUUAAAA
rnacentral:lncRNA from 10 species